rnacentral:tRNA from 1 species
CUGGAUAUAGCUCAGCGUGGUCAGAGCGCCUGCCCUGGGAGCAGGAUGGCGGAGGUUCGAAUCCUUCUAUCCAGA